rnacentral:lncRNA from 1 species
CAGGCGUAUGCACGCGUAAACGAAGUAUAUUUAUGCUCAAAAGAAAUUCAGUUUCUUCUUAGGUUUCUCUUUCCUGUAUUCUCUAUAGUGGACUAGUCCUGCUUAUUUUUAUUGCGGCUCAAAACAUGACAAAUGAUUGCUCAGACACCUCCGUGACAACCGGACUGCUCUAUAUUUAGUUAAUGAUAACCCGGUGGUUCACACAUUGAAGUAUGGGAACCAAUUAUUUGCAAUGAUAAAAAGGUAACCCAGCAAACCCAUGCCAAGAUAAACUAAUACUUGAGCCGCCGGGGGCAACUCUAAACUCAAGAGCUCACUACGAGAUACGUACUGUGAUCUGCAUGUGACUUUCGGGCGCCUGCGAGGCAUGUCCGUUCCACUUUCAUAGUCUGAAGACAGAAAAUAGAAAAUAAAAUAGCGUUAUGAUUGUAAGAGGCACGGGCUGACACGGCCAUCACGGCUCUAGAAGGAAAGUUCUCUUCUGGGGGAGAAGAAGGAGGCAUUUGUAACAUGCCAGUAGCCUACUUUCCUUCAGCUAGGAUAUGUAUGACCUGGGGAUAAACUGAUGACCCACUAUCCUGAAGUUGAACCAGAAUGGUUUCAACGUUCUCACUCAGCCCCGUCUUACGGAUGUUCCACUAGAUACUCGGGUGCACUGCGCUGAUUAGAUUCCAAACACCUGGUGGUUUCCACUGCAUUGAUGCAAGCCAUCUCGAGCUCAUUAAAUGACGAGCCUUAAAAUCCCUGGGCUCCAGAAGGCUACAGUCUAAGCCGAAGAUGAUUCUUCUCUGUGGACAAAAAGACAAAGAUGGCCCUUGGUUGCUGUCUAGUCUGCUGCUGUCCGCUGGUCCUCCUUGGUGGGGCUGGAUUUAUACCCGUCUUGGGGGGUCUCUCGCCGCCUCUCUGCCUUGGAGGUCUGUGUGCCAUCGGGGCUCACCUCCCCUCGGGGUCAGCUGGAGACUGCCAGGGUCACACAUUUCUGAUCUCCAAACCUCAAUUUAUAGCUGAAGGUUAUGACUUUCAAGAUUCUCAUGGUUUCCUGUUAAAUCGAGCUGAGUGUUGUUGAAGGCUAUGUGGGGCUUUUUUUUUUGUUUCUUCUCUAUUUUCUUUUUACAGUAAACCUGCCUUUGAUUUUUAUUUUUCAGUUCUUUUUUUAUCAAGGUAGACCUAUAGCUUUGUACAUCAGCUGAUUACACGUCCUUUAGGAAUGAAACAGUGUGUUCCAUAGAUCCUUUAAAGCAGUUUGUUUGCUUUGCUUUGCUCUUGUUUUCAGCUAAUUGGAUAUUAAACUCAUCAAUACAGUGACACAAACUGUUCCCCUACAAAUAAGUUUAGUGUUUUCUACUGAAUUUUUUCUGUGACUCUUAAAGUGUUCGUGUAAGAUUUCAAAUGCUGGAGCUACAAAAGCAGUAGUCUUCAAGUUUAUCACAAGACAGUAAUAAUCUUUAAAAAUGUUCCAGUCGAAUGGGGCAAUGACUGGAUUGUUACUUUCAAUCCCAGCUGCUUAACCUUUCCUGUUUUUAGAGACUAACUGUAGUGCAGGAACUCCGUAUGGGAAUUACCUCCCCUUCCUUACGUUUGCAUAAAAAAAAACAGCUGAAAAUGUAAACUCCUAAAGUUGGACUGCCACGGUUUCUAAUUCAACACAAUGGCAGCAACAAAUGUAUUUUCACACCAGGGUUACAAAUUCUUCAGCAGGGAGGACUUUUCUUUCAAAAGGAGAAUUACUCUUUAAUGUGUGAAUGAGGUGUGUUUUAUACAAAUACAGAGUACAGAGGUUAAGCUUUAAGCUUUUUACACUUCAUAUACAAAUACUCUAAGGGGAGACACUGUUGGUUUGUUAAAUGUAUGACUAAUUAAGAAUAUCUCACUGUUUCUAGUUACAUCAGAUUUUCUCCUACCUCUGUGUACCUCCAUUUUUAUUCUUGUGUUAUUUGCAAUGUUGUAAUCUCUUUUCACUUGUUAUUGUACAAAUAAAAAUCAUUGAGCAUCUUGCUACACUUCAGUCUGAGAUAUUUCUAAGACAAUGCUCUUUGAAUGAUAAUGGGAGGUUAUGUUAUUUGAUCCACGAAAGAAGGACUUGCAUCGUUAACAAGAAACAAAUACGAUGGGGAAAUUGGAACUGUCCAUGUGACAAAAUUGCCAUUUUGAAAAUUACUGGUUUUGCAUUUGAAAAACAUGCAUUUGAAAAACAUGUCAAUCAGAAGUGCCAUUCUAAAAGAACAACUUUCAACUACAGUCCACACUGCUACACAUUGCAGAUGGAGUUUCUCAUAUAGGCAGUGAAAUAAAUUAGGCUACUUCAAACUGAAUCAUAGAUGAUUUCAAACUUAAAAAUGCUACAGGUUCUUGGACUUAUUGUGUUAACUUGUGAAGAAAGAAAACUAUAAUCAUGAAAAAAUUGAGCAAAGAAAACAAUUUAUUGCAUCUGAAUAUGUACUCAGUCAACAGGUAAUAACCUGUUUUGUGUUAUUAGUGAAUCUGUUUCAAUAUAGACAAAUGUAUCAGUUGAAGAAGAAUACUAAAUGAUUGUUCAACAUUUUAAAGUAUUCCAGUUUUGUUUUUAACAUAGUAGUGUGGAUCCCAGUGCAUUAAAAGAUUUUCCAUUAUCCGAGUUUGUUUUGCGGAUGAGAACACAAAACCAUGAGAACAGUCACAGAUGAGUGGACGUUAUUUGACC